GCUCUUUCAAAAACAGGUUAUAAUUUAUUGCUCUGUUCGGCGUUUUUCCUUUGUGUACGGGGUACAAGAUUUUCAUGCUUAUAACAGGAUCAUAUUAUGAUCUUCUUAUAUUGUGCAAGGACAAUUCAAGUCAUCGAGAACAACCAAGGGACUCGUUUUACUGGUGCAAUGAUACAAUGAUGGGCAGAAGAAAACAACAGUGAAUGAUGAUUCUACUUGCCAUAUAAUCCAACAGGGGCAGGCCUCACUGAAUGUUAUAACGGUAUUCUUAAGGCUGCCCUGAAGACAGACUCCCAGUCCCUGAAGGGGUGGACAAAAAGACUCUAUGGAACCCUGUGGGACCUGAAUGAGAAACCUAGAGAUGGCAGACCCAGUUUCCUGAAAAUGCUACAGACAACAUGGAUCUCCCUGCUUAGGAUCCAAGUUACUGGCACUGAUAAUCAGGUAAGACCCCAGAUUGGUAAUGAAAAUAAUCUUCUGCUCCUUGCCCCUGAGAAUUUAGAUCUGGGUACCCACAGAAUAAAAUGGCCUUGUAAGGCGCAGGUAGGAACUAAGUGGUGUAACCUACUUGUACCUUGGGGGAGAUUAUUGGAGGUGGGAG
ensembl:lncRNA